GCAGCAGAAAGCAGGCUGGAUUUGCAUGAGGAUACCAGGCAGGACAGCACUAGAGGCAAGACCUAAUAACCUUAGCAAGCCAAAAGAUGUGCAAGCUUAGUUUGCAUUUUUAUUUCACUUUGAUGCCUCCCCUCUUUUUAUUUCCCAUGCACCUAUGAUGAUUAAUAUCAAAGGGUAUUAUUGCACCUCUUCCUCCUGACAUUCAAACCAAGCAAUUUCAGUGCCUGUCAGUCAAAAAUAAGGAAGGGCAGGAGGUGAGGUCAGCUCUCCCUCAGAUCCAAGCUCUUUUUCUAUUUACAUUAAUACAAGGAAGAGCUGAACAUGCAGAGAACACACAGGAAAUGUCAUCUCUGUUCACAGACUUUUGCAUUAAAGGAUUUCCAAAGACAGCAGGAAAUUUAUGGCUCCGUUCUAUAGAGAGGAAACCCGAGGAUCUUGUGAGUUGGUGGUGGGCACCCAGCUGUGGGAGACAGAAUCCACCUUCCCCUCCUCGUCAUCCCUCCAGAGAACAAAUGCUGCUCACAUCACCCCGAGCAACUGAGCCCUUAAAGCCUGAGAGCCCAUUUGCAGAGCCAAAUUGCUUGACGGUGUCUCAGCAAGUCUAAAACAGCCGCUGUAUCUCUUGGUAUUUUGGAGUUUUACACGGUUUGGUGCUGGGCCAGAGCAAAAGAAGCCGAAUGAUUCACGAGAGAAUCACUCUGGGAGACCUUUGCUCUCCUGCUGCAGACCAGGACAGGAGCACCCUGACUGCUGGCAAGUUCUCCAAAAGGUCACUAAAAGGGUUUCCAGUGAUUAAUACAUAUAUAUUUAAGGCUAAGUCUCCUGGUGCCAGGCAUUACCUGACCUCAGGUGUCACAAGAGCAGUGGCUUUGCUUUCCCUCACCCCAAGAGGUGCUGAGCCCUGGGCUGGCAGGGGGUGACAGCAGGUUUCCCUCCCACAGGACCCUGGCACGAGGAGGAACCGCUUCUCUAAAGGUUGCAGUAAAGCACCUGUAGCUGCGUUUGAUUAAAAGUUGUAUUAGUGCUUAGCUCUUGCGUGGCGUUUGCCAUCCUGAGACUUGAAGUGAUCAACGC